rnacentral:rRNA from 1 species
AGACCCGAAACCCGGUGAUCUAGCCAUGGGCAGGUUGAAGGUUGGGUAACACUAACUGGAGGACCGAACCGACUAAUGUUGAAAAAUUAGCGGAUGACCUGUGGCUGGGGGUGAAAGGCCAAUCAAACCGGGAGAUAGCUGGUUCUCCCCGAAAGCUAUUUAGGUAGCGCCUCGUGAAUUCAUCUCCGGGGGUAGAGCACUGUUUCGGCUAGGGGGCCAUCCCGGCUUACCAACCCGAUGCAAACUGCGAAUACCGGAGAAUGUUAUCACGGGAGACACACGGCGGGUGCUAACGUCCGUCGUGAAGAGGGAAACAACCCAGACCGCCAGCUAAGGUCCCAAAGUCAUGGUUAAGUGGGAAACGAUGUGGGAAGGCCCAGACAGCCAGGAUGUUGGCUUAGAAGCAGCCAUCAUUUAAAGAAAGCGUAAUAGCUCACUGGUCGAGUCGGCCUGCGCGGAAGAUGUAACGGGGCUAAACCAUGCACCGAAGCUGCGGCAGCGAACGUAUCACCCAAGACAACUUUACGGAGUUGACGAUUGACGGAGCGAAGCGACGUCAAAGCGUUCAUUAAAGUCGAGUUGGCUUAGGGAUACGUUCGUUGGGUAGGGGAGCGUUCUGUAAGCCUGUGAAGGUGUGUCGUGAGGCAUGCUGGAGGUAUCAGAAGUGCGAAUGCUGACAUAAGUAACGAUAAAGCGGGUGAAAAGCCCGCUCGCCGGAAGACCAAGGGUUCCUGUCCAACGUUAAUCGGGGCAGGGUGAGUCGACCCCUAAGGCGAGGCCGAAAGGCGUAGUCGAUGGGAAACGGGUUAAUAUUCCCGUACUUGGUGUUACUGCGAAGGGGGGACGGAGAAGGCUAUGUUGGCCGGGCGACGGUUGUCCCGGUUUAAGCGUGUAGGUGUGUGUUCCAGGUAAAUCCGGUUCACUUUAACACUGAGGCGUGAUGACGAGGCACUACGGUGCUGAAGCAACAAAUGCCCUGCUUCCAGGAAAAGCCUCUAAGCAUCAGGUAACAUCAAAUCGUACCCCAAACCGACACAGG